rnacentral:rRNA from 1 species
ACGUGGGUAACCUACCUAUAAGACUGGGAUAACUCCGGGAAACCGGGGCUAAUACCGGAUAAUAUUUUGAACCGCAUGGUUCAAUAGUGAAAGACGGUUUCGGCUGUCACUUAUAGAUGGACCCGCGCCGUAUUAGCUAGUUGGUAAGGUAACGGCUUACCAAGGCGACGAUACGUAGCCGACCUGAGAGGGUGAUCGGCCACACUGGAA